UGGGGAAUAUUGGACAAUGGGCGCAAGCCUGAUCCAGCCAUGCCGCGUGAGUGAUGAAGGCCCUAGGGUUGUAAAGCUCUUUCACCGGUGAAGAUAAUGACGGUAACCGGAGAAGAAGCCCCGGCUAACUUCGUGCCAGCAGCCGCGGUAAUACGAAGGGGGCUAGCGUUGUUCGGAUUUACUGGGCGUAAAGCGCACGUAGGCGGACUAUUAAGUCAGGGGUGAAAUCCCGGGGCUCAACCCCGGAACUGCCUUUGAUACUGGUAGUCUUGAGUUCGAGAGAGGUGAGUGGAAUUCCGAGUGUAGAGGUGAAAUUCGUAGAUAUUCGGAGGAACACCAGUGGCGAAGGCGGCUAACUGGCUCGAUACUGACGCUGAGGUGCGAAAGCGUGGGGAGCAAACAGG
rnacentral:rRNA from 1 species